AGCACACAUAGUCCUUAACACUGUAGGGGUAUUAAUGAUACCCCUACCCCUAAUCCUUAAUACCCCUACAGUGUUAAUACUCCUACAGUGUUAAUACCCCUACCCCAGCACACAUAGUCCUUAAUACCCCUACCCCAGCACACACACUGUUAAUACUGUGCGUGCUGGGGUAGGGGUAUUAACACUGUAGGGGUAGGGGUAUUAAGGACUAGGAGUAGGGGUAUGAAGGAUUACGGGUAGAUGUAUGAAGGUUUAGGGGUAUGAAGGACUAGGGGUAUUAAGGACUAUAAGUGCCCCAAGUCCUUCACUUACUUUUUGUGAGAGAGACUUUCCAAGGGUUCUUUAAUAGCUUCAGUAGAGCAGCGACCGGUCCAUGAUGGCACCCGCAUUCCUUGACGCUCAGCACGCAAUGCCAUAGCAUAUUACAGUACUCAUUUAAUUCUAGCCAUACCAAUUCAUAAAAGCUAGGGGUGCUGUGAUUGGCUGAGAGUGUCAGCUGAAUGCUUUCAGCCAAUCACUGUCACACAUUGUUGCUUCCUUGUUAUCCCAAGCUGCACAGAGAGUUUGGACUGCUGUUAGUCAAUGAAGUAUAUUCAAAGCUUAGGCUUGUCACCAGUGGGGUACCUCAGGGAUCUAUACUUGGACCCAUUCUCUUUAAUAUUUUUUAUUAGUGAUCUUGCAGAAGGUCUUGAUGGUAAGGUAUGUAUUUUUGCUGAUGAUACUAAGAUAUGUAACAGAGUUGAUGUUCCAGGAAGGAUAAGCCAAAUGGCAAAUGAUUUAGGUAAACUAGAAAAAUGGUCAGAGUUGUGGCAACUGACAUUUAAUGUGGAUAAGUGCAAGAUAAUGCAUCCUGGACAUAAAAACCCAAGGGCUGAGUACAUAAUAUUUGAUGGAGUCCUAACCUCAACAGCUGAGGAAAGGGAUUUAGGGAUAAUUAUUUCAGAUGACUUAUAGGUAGGCAGACAAUGUAAUAGAGGAACCGGAAGUGCUAGCAGAAUGCUUGGUUGUUUAGGGAGAGGCAUUAGCAGUAGAAAGAGGGAAGUGAUCAUGCCAUUGUACAGAACACUGGUGAGACCUCACUUGGAGUAUUGUACGCAGUACUGGAGACCGUAUCUCCAGAAGAAUAUUGAUACUUUAGAGAGAGUUCAGAGAGGGGCUACUAAACUGGUUCAUGGAUUGCGGGAUAAAACUUACCAGGAAAGGUUAAAGGAUCUUAACAUGUACAGCUUGGAGGAAAGACGAGACAGGGG